AAUUUGAAAAUGAUUGUGGCCGUGAUGGUCCGAGAAUGUAAAGCCUUAGAGUGAUAAUCCUGUUCCACUCAAUGUAAGCCAAUAACAGCAAUGAUUUGCAUUUGUGUGGACCGUUUUAGAUAUUCAUCAAACUAAAAUGUUUCAAACAUUGGUGAAAAAAGUUUAUUUUACAUUGAAUAUCUUAAAGAAGGUUAGAGAGGUUUAAGGAGGCAAUUCCGGAUCUUGUUGGCUCACCAGCUGAAAAUGGUGAAUGCUGUGUUGCGUGGGGUUUCGGAAAACGUUUGUAGCAAGUGAAGAUUACCUACAUUGUGGAAAUAGGCCCUUCGGCCCUGCAAGUCUACACAGCCCCUUGAAGCAUCCCACUCAGACCCAUCCCCCUGUAACCCACACACCCCUGAACACUACAGGCAAUUUAGCAUAGCCAAUCCACCUACCUGCGCAGCUUAGGACUGAGGGAGGAAACCAGAGCACACCCACACAGACACAGGGAGAAUGUGCAAACUCCACACAGACAUUUGCCGGAGGCUGGAAUCGAACCUGUGUCCCUGGUGCUGUAAGGCUGCAGUUCUAGCCACUGAGCCACCAUGCUGCCCUAGAUCUUAAGACUGGAAGAGUUUAGAGGAACUGUAACAGACAGUACCACAGCUGUACAAGAGGUGUCUGCUGUUGGAAACAAUGUAAUGAAUACUGUUCGGAGGACAGAGCCUGAUUAAAGUCGUAGCAGCUGAAGGUGUGUGGGCUGAAGACACUACGCCGCAGAAUUCUUGCAGUGAUAUCCAGGCGCUGAGACGAUUGCACUCCAAUGCUGUCAGGCUUGCUGACUAUUCCAGCAACUUUUGUUUUUGCUCCUGAUACACACCAUCCAAAAUUCUUCAGGAGGAGUUCGAUAUAGUUCUGAGGGCCAAAGAGAUAAAAUGAUGUGGGGUCCCUGAGCUGGAUGAUCAGCCGUGAUUAAUUUGAAGAUCAGAACAGGCAAGAAAGGAUGAGUGGACGAUUCUUACUCCAAUUUUUGAAGUUUCCACCAUUACCAGAGAAAUGGAAAGGAUUGACGAGGAUAAAGUGAGAGCCAGGAAUAACAGCACAAUGUAUAAAUCACUGCGAAUGGAGAAAUGGGAUAAAGACCUGGGAUGGAUUCAGAGAAUGAGUACAGAACAGAAAGGUGCUGUUGUGCACCAUAUCUGCCACAGUAAUGAGGCACACCAAGGUCCAUCAACUAUCUACAAUCUGCGUUUACAAGGCUAUGGGAUGGUUAUGGAGGAACAAGUUGAGAUGCAAAACAGGGCCGGAGAUCAUCCAUCACCGCCCUCACCCUCAACCCUUACAGAUUACAGAGGUUCAUCUUGGCCUGUCCCACUAUUUGGCGGGACUGGGUCCAGCUUCACGAAGCUGCCAGCUGAUAGUCAGCUGUGUCAACUUGGCCGGGUUGGAAUGUUUCAAGGAGCAGAUCAUGGGCGAUAUCGGAGCAGGCACCUUCUCUGCUCCUCUUCAUCCUCCUGUUGUGGCUCUUUUACUGGAGCUCUGUUGGUGACCGUUUCUAAACUCUUAUCUCCACAUCCUCGUAUUGUACGUGUAGGUGGCUAUGGUGAGCCCUCGAAUUUUUAAAAGGUCAAUGUCUUAUCAGUGUUACUUAUGCAUUUGUUGGAACAUUUUUUAAAAUUCAUAGAGAACCGCUAAAUCCAUUUUGCCCCUCCAGUUGUUUUUACAUAAAACUCCAUUCUUGGAUGUGAACAAAUUUAAGUAGUGUCAAACAGGAAAUAUUGCCAAACCGCAGCAGUCUGUUGAGCAAGUAGGAGUGGACCAUGUGAACCACGAGAAUCCCUAUGCUUUCUUUCUGAGAAUUCUCACGCUGAGAUGAGGAAUGAACGCAGAUAGUUGUAGAAGUCAAGAAACACAAUUGACAUUUGUGUUGCAUUAUCACUAUAAUGAAAUGUUCACUAGAAUUUCAGAGAUAUUAUAUUACAAGAUUUAUCACAAAGAGACAUAAUACUGAUGAUCAAGAGUGUUGCAAAAUGUAUCAGCUUGAAGGGCAAUUUUGAAAAGGAGAGAGUCAGAGAUGUUUGAAGCGGGAACUACAGAACUUGAGGCCAAUUAUUGAGGUUAUUAAUCGAUGGAAAAGGACAAUUUCAGAUGCUGCCAGGAUUGCUGAGUACUUACCGCACUUUCUUUCUGCAUCUGUUCUUAGUUCUGAGGACUCAAGGGAUCAAAUUGUUUGAGGAUAAAGGUCCUUCACUCGCAAAUCUCCAACCUCAGUAGUUCACUGCAAACAGUGACUGAUUUUAACGGUAGUCAACUAUUUUAUGUGGUAAUUUUUCUCCCAAGUCUUGACUUCACAAUUGUCCAGAUUAAUUUCUCUCAAUUUAACAACCUGCGUAUCUUCUCUUUUCUCCUUUCUUUUCCUGUUUUGAAAGAUUGAUUUGCAACUUGAGGUGCAGAUGAAACCAUAUCCAGAUCUGACAGCCACUCUCUUCAUCAUAACCAAAUUGUCAAAACGUUUUGAACAUUGAAGAAAAAAUACCACUCAUACUGGAGAGGAACACACUUUCUCUCUGUGUGGAAGUGUCUGUGAAGAUUCAUCUAAAAGGUCAAAACACCAGAGCAGUCAUAUUAGAGACAGUGUGGAAAUGUGGGGAUUGUGGGAAGUCUUUUUUUAAAAGAAUCAUCACAGCUGAAAGCUCACCAACUCAGUCUGUUAAAAAAUUGUAAUCGUGAGUAAUCGUGAAUUGGAAGGCAGGAAGCGAGAAUUUGUUUGUAAAAUAACAUUCAGGGACAAGAUUGUAUGGUACCUUGAAGGGAUAGUGCUUUUCUAAGCCUAGGGAUUUAUACUGAGAGAGAAAAAAAAGUGUCUGCAUAUAGCUGAAGGUGUACAGCCCGUUCUAAAAUUGAAACACGUAUCAAUUGGCUGUGUGAACGGAAACCUUGUUUUGGUGUUUUGGCAAUGAGCUGGAAUCAGCCAAUUUGUCUCAUCCAAGCAUUAGCAAUUCAAAGACAAUUGAAUUUAAACCUGGUGGUUUUGAUAGUUUAGCAUGAAUGCUAUUGUAAUAAAAUUGACAUGUCAUCCCAGUAGAUAACGAGAGAUUUUGAAAAUCAGUGUGAGAAUGAAUGGUCAUCUGAGAAGUAAUCAUCUAUCUCUCACAAGCAAUCACUGAGGUCUCUAAGAAAGCACCUGUAUCCAUAAAAGUCACCAUGGUAUUUCUAGUUAAGAGCCCUCACAAAGUACUUCACAGAGAAAACAUCCCUGACACCCGGAUCCGUGGAAUAAAGGCAUUUAUGACGUGAGAGCAGCAGAAAUAAAGCGCGUAGACUUUGAGAGACUAAGAUUUUAUUUUCUUGUCUUACUACUUGGAUUAUAUAAGUGGGACUUAUGUUUAUUGGAAUAGCGUACCAGUAGAACUUAGUCCAUUUAGGGAAUAGUUAGUAGUUAUUGG